GCCUUCUUGGCCAAGUGGUAAGGCAUCGCACUCGUAAUGCGGGGACCGUGGGUUCAAUUCCCACAGAAGGCA
rfam:Naumovozyma dairenensis CBS 421 chromosome 4, complete genome